rnacentral:misc_RNA from 1 species
AAGUCGUAACAAGGUAUCCGUAGGUGAACCUGCGGAUGGAUCAUUACUAAAGUAUCCAUCCUACGUACUGUGAACUGUUUUGACUAUAAAGUCGGUAUUGGUGUGCUGUUUCGAUAGCCCACCAUACCGCAGUUGUUAUGUAUUAAACUGACUGAGAGUACUAUACUAAUAGUAACCAAUAAGAACUUUUAGCAACGGAUCUCUUGGCUCUC